rnacentral:rRNA from 1 species
AUUGAACGCUGGCGGCAUGCUUUACACAUGCAAGUCGAACGGCAGCACAGGGAGCUUGCUCCCGGGUGGCGAGUGGCGCACGGGUGAGUAAUACAUCGGAACGUGUCCUGGUUGUGGGGGAUAACUGCUCGAAAGGGUGGCUAAUACCGCAUGAGACCUGAGGGUGAAAGCGGGGGAUCGCAAGACCUCGCGCAAUUGGAGCGGCCGAUGCCCGAUUAGCUAGUUGGUGAGGUAAAGGCUCACCAAGGCGACGAUCGGUAGCUGGUCUGAGAGGACGACCAGCCACACUGGGACUGAGACACGGCCCAGACUCCUACGGGAGGCAGCAGUGAGGAAUAUUGGUCAAUGGACGAGAGUCUGAACCAGCCAAGUAGCGUGAAGGAUGACUGCCCUAUGGGUUGUAAACUUCUUUUAUAAAGGAAUAAAGUCGGGUAUGUAUACCCGUUUGCAUGUACUUUAUGAAUAAGGAUCGGCUAACUCCGUG